GAUGAACGCUAGCGGCAGGCUUAAUACAUGCAAGUCGAGGGACAGCACAGGUAGCAAUACUGGGUGGUAACCGGCAAACGGGUGCGGAACACGUACACAACCUUCCUUUAAGUGGGGGAUAGCCCAGAGAAAUUUGGAUUAAUACCCCGUAAUAUAGUUGAAUGGCAUCAUUUGAUUAUUAUAGCUACGGCGCUUAAUGAUGGGUGUGCGGCUGAUUAGAUAGUUGGCGGGGUAACGGCCCACCAAGUCUACGAUCAGUAGCUGAUGUGAGCGCAUGAUCAGCAACAAGGGCACUGAGACACGGGCCCGACGCCUACGGGAGGCAGCAGUGAGGAAGAUUGGUCAAUGGACGGAAGUCUGAACCAGCCAUGCCGCGUGAAGGAUUAAGGUCCUCUGGAUUGUAAACUUCUUUUAUUUGGGACGAAAAAGGGCCUUUCUAGGUCAACUGACGGUACCAGAUGAAUAAGCACCGGCUAACUCCGUGCCAGCAGCCGCCGUAAAAC
rnacentral:rRNA from 1 species